GAUGAACGCUGGCGGCGUGCUUAACACAUGCCAGUCGAACGAAGCACUUUAUUUGAUUUCCUUCGGGACUGAUUAUUUUGUGACUGAGUGGCGGACGGGUGAGUAACGCGUGGGUAACCUGCCUUGUACAGGGGGAUAACAGUUGGAAACGGCUGCUAAUACCGCAUAAGCGCACGGCAUCGCAUGAUGCAGUGUGAAAAACUCCGGUGGUAUAAGAUGGACCCGCGUUGGAUUAGCUAGUUGGUGAGGUAACGGCCCACCAAGGCGACGAUCCAUAGCCGACCUGAGAGGGUGACCAGCCACAUUGGGACUGAGACACGGCCCAAACUCCUACGGGAGGCAGCAGUGGGGAAUAUUGCACAAUGGGCGAAAGCCUGAUGCAGCGACGCCGCGUGAGCGAAGAAGUAUUUCGGUAUGUAAAGCUCUAUCAGCAGGGAAGAUAAUGACGGUACCUGACUAAGAAGCACCGGCUAAAUACGUG
rnacentral:rRNA from 1 species